rnacentral:misc_RNA from 1 species
AGCAGCCGCGGUAAUUCCAGCUCCAAUAGCGUAUAUUAAAGUUGUUGCAGUUAAAAGCUCGUAGUUGAAUUUCGGGAUCAAUAUGUCGGUCGUGCCUUGGUACGUACUGGUAUCAUUGGUCUCUCCUUUCUGACGAACCAUGAUGUCAUUAAUUUGGUGUUAUGGGAAGUUAGGACUGUUACUUUGAAAAAUUGAGUGUUUAAAGCAGGCUUUAGCUUGAAUACAUUAGCAUGGAAUAAUGAAAUAGGACGUUCGAACCUAUUUUGUUGGUUUCUAGGAUCAACGUAAUGAUUAAUAGGGAUAGUUGGGGGCAUUAGUAUUCAAUUGUCAGAGGUGAAAUUCUUGGAUUUAUUGAAGACUAACUACUGCGAAAGCAUUUGCCAAGGAUGUUUUCAUUAAUCAAGAACGAAAGUUAGGGAUCGAAGACGAUCAGAUACCGUCGUAGUCUUAACCAUAAACUAUGCCGACUAGGGAUCGGAUGAUGUUAAUUUUUAAUGACUCAUUCGGCGCCUUAACC